UACGUAGGCAGCAAGCGUUGUUCGGAAUUACUGGGCGUAAAGAGUGUGUAGGCGGUGCUCUAAGUUCGGUGUGAAAUCUCCCGGCUUAACUGGGAGGGUGCGCCGGAAACUGGAGUGCUCGAGCGUGGGAGAGGAAAGCGGAAGUUCCUGGUGUGAGCGGUGAAAUGCGUAGAUAUCAGGAGGAACACCUGCGGUGUAGACGGCUUUCUGGACCAUUGCUGACGCUGAGACACGAAAGCGUGGGUAGCAAACAGG
rnacentral:rRNA from 1 species